AGGAUCAAGAAGGGCCAGGGUCCAGCCAGGAUGCAGUCUCAAGUCACGCAUAGCUUUGGGUUAACCAUUUGGGGAAGGUUCUGGGACAUAAACCGCACUGCAGAGCUGAUCCACCUUGAGGCAAGGGGUAAGCUGUGUACACUGUACCCAUCAGUUUAUGGCCGAGGGAUCUCCUGUCAGUAUAAGCGAAGGGUUGUCCUCCAGACCUGGGGGGGCUGUGGCCAGAGGUGGUUCUGGGAGCUGCAUCACAGCUUCUGUUUCACGAUGUGGUUUGAUCGCCCAGCAUCUGACCCCAUUUCUCCAUAACUUCCCUCCUCCUCCCCCUCCUCCUGUGUGUUACACAGCACACCAAACCAGCACGGGCAGAAGCAGCAACAUGGAGAGGUGGGCGAGACAGCGGAGGUGGUGGCCAUCAGCGAACAAACUCCCAGUGGCCAUUUGCCCUUUCUUAACUCAUCAUGCAUCUGGCCCGGUGUUCAGUCCGCUCAUGUGAAAAGUCAGAGUCGGAAACGGAAUGGGAACUUGACACAAAUCUGGUUUCCAGUCUCUAGGUCCACGCCUCUGCAAGUGGCUCAAUUUCAUUCUUUGUUAUGGAUUUCACCUUGAAUUCUACUUUGUAGGACAUUGGAUUUAUCACUGCUGCUUUCUUCCCUCCUUUCAUCCUUCCGUGAAUAACCACAAGUCCACACUGUGUGCCAAGUACCCUUCUAGGUGCUGAAGACAGACUAGACAAGAAAUUAAACCAAAUCUUUACUUCCUGGAACUUAUAUUCUAGUGUGGGAGAAAGUAAAACAAGAUAAAUAUGAAAAAUAUGAUUCAUUUUUUCCAGUUUUUAAUGUUUUAUUUUAUUAAAAUUUUUUUCAUGAUUUAUUAACAUUUUGUUCAUUGAGAAAAUGGUUAUUUUGUUAAAGAAACCUUUUCUUCUGUUUUUCCUUUGUUUUAAUUUUGCUAAAUUUACAUAUAAUGCUGCAAUAAGCAGCCUUAAAUAUCUAUGCUUACAUACUGUUAUUUUAUUCUUAGAGAUAUAUUGACAGAAUAAGGUUAUCGGAUAAAUGGGUGUAUGGCUAUAUGCCUAUAUAAUUAUUAUUAAAAUAUAUACGAUAUGGUCUAAUGCUUUAAGUCCUUUCUAUUUAAAGGGUUGCUCACAGAUCCAAAGACACAAGAUGGGAACAGGUUGGAAACAUGAGGAUCCACCUUGGACCAACGGAGUGUGUGUCUUUGUUGUUGGUACGCAAUCCGAGCUUGCUCUGCUUGCCCCAUGCCGAGCCAGUAAGACAGGAGACAGGUGUUGAGGCAAAGAAUAGUGACUUCAUUCGGAAAGCUGGCAGAGAAGAUGGUAGGCUAGUGUCUCAAAAUCACCUUGGGGUCUGGAUGCCAAUUUCUUUAUAUAGAAGUGGCGGGUAGGUAGGAAAUAAAGCA